rnacentral:pre_miRNA from 1 species
AUAUUACUCCCUCCGUCCGGAAAUACUUGUCAUCAAAAUGGAUGAAAAUGAAUGUAUCUACAACUAAAAUACAUCUAGAUACAUCCAUUUCAAUGACAAGUAUUUCCGGACGGAGGGAGUACAUG